UACGCCAUAGAAUGGAAAGACACUGGGGCU
rnacentral:piRNA from 1 species